rfam:Anopheles dirus strain WRAIR2 unplaced genomic scaffold supercont1.853, whole genome shotgun sequence.
AUUCUGGUUGAUCCUACCAGUGAUAUACGCUCGUCUCAAAGGUUAAGCCAUGCAUGUCUAAGUACAAACUG